rnacentral:rRNA from 1 species
GACGAACGCUGGCGGCGUGCUUAACACAUGCAAGUCGAACGGAAAGGCCUGCUUUCCCUUGUGGAUUGCGGGUACUCGAGUGGCGAACGGGUGAGUAACACGUGAGUGAUCUGCCCCCAACUUGGGUAUAAGCCUGGGAAACUGGGUCUAAUUCCCGAUAGGACUGCAGGGUGGUGCCUGUGGUGGAACACGAUUUUCUAGUGGUUGGGGAUGAGCUCGCGGCCUAUCAGCUUGUUGGUGGGGUAAUGGCCUACCAAGGCGGCGACGGGUAGCCGGCCUGGGAGGGUGGACGGACACAUUGGGACUGAGAUACGGCCCAGACUCCUACGGGAGGCAGCAGUGGGGAAUAUUGCACAAUGGGCGGAAGCCUGAGGCAGCGACGCCGCGUGGGGGAUGACGGCCUUCGGGUUGUAAACUCCUUUCGACCGCGAGGAAGCCACCUGGUUGGAAGGGUGGUGACGGUAGUGGUAGAAGAAGCACCGGCUAACUACGUG